GAUGAACGCUGGCGGCGUGCCUAAUACAUGCAAGUCGAGCGAACGGACGAGAAGCUUGCUUCUCUAAUGUUAGCGGCGGACGGGUGAGUAACACGUGGAUAACCUACCUAUAAGACUGGGAUAACUUCGGGAAACCGUAGCUAAUACCGGAUAAUAUUUUGAACCGCAUGGUUCAAAAGUGAAAGACGGUCUUGCUGUCACUUAUAGAUGGAUCGCGCUGCAUUAGCUAGUUGGUAAGGUAACGGCUUACCAAGGCAACGAUGCAUAGCCGACCUGAGAGGGUGAUCGGCCACACUGGAACUGAGACACGGUCCAGACUCCUACGGGAGGCAGCAGUAGGGAAUCUUCCGCAAUGGGCGAAAGCCUGACGGAGCAACGCCGCGUGAGUGAUGAAGGUCUUCGGAUCGUAAAACUCUGUUAUUAGGGAAGAACAUAUGUGUAAGUAACUGUGCACAUCUUGACGGUACCUAAUCAGAAAGCCACGGCUAACUACGUG
rnacentral:rRNA from 1 species